rnacentral:rRNA from 1 species
AGAGUUUGAUCCUGGCUCAGAUUGAACGCUGGCGGCAUGCCUUACACAUGCGAGUCGAACGGCAGCACGGGAGCAAUCCUGGUGGCGAGUGGCGAACGGGUGAGUAAUGUAUCGGAACGUGCCCAGUCGUGGGGGAUAACGUAGCGAAAGUUACGCUAAUACCGCAUACGAUCUUUGGAUGAAAGCGGGGGAUCGCAAGACCUCGCGCGAUUGGAGCGGCCGAUAUCAGAUUAGGUAGUUGGUGGGGUAAAGGCUCACCAAGCCGACGAUCUGUAGCUGGUCUGAGAGGACGACCAG